rnacentral:snoRNA from 1 species
AUGCCAGUUAAAUGUGUCUGCUUAACUUGAAAAUGUUUUGCAGAGCAUAUUCUAAAACAGCUGGUAAAGUAAAGCCACAGUACGAGCCUUGAAGACUUUGUUGUCUUUGAGGUCCCAAGAGAUGGCUACAUCU